GGCAAGGUGGCCGAGCGGUCCAAGGCGCCACGUUAAGGCAUUUAAACCCUUAAUUCAAGUCCGUGGUCUCGAAAGGGGCGUGAGUUCGAAUCUCACCCUUGUCA
rnacentral:tRNA from 1 species